UACGUAGGCAGCGAGCGUUGUUCGGAAUUACUGGGCGUAAAGAGUGUGUAGGCGGUGCUCUAAGUUCGGUGUGAAAUCUCCUGGCUUAACUGGGAGGGUGCGCCGGAAACUGGAGUGCUCGAGCGUGGGAGAGGAAAGCGGAAUUCCUGGUGUAGCGGUGAAAUGCGUAGAUAUCAGGAGGAACACCGGUGGCGAAGGCGGGUCUCUGGGCAGUAACUGACGCUGAGGAGCGAAAGCGUGGGGAGCGAACAGG
rnacentral:rRNA from 1 species